CUCCUCCAGGCCUUUCCGGUGGGCACACUCACAUCUUGCCUGGGCAGCUUGUGGAGUGGGGGCUUCUCCAGUGGUUAUUUCCCCACUCUGAGACCAGGCUAAGAACGGCUCCUCACACUCCAGUGCUCUUGGUCCACUCUUCGUUCAAGAGGUUCUCCGGAAGCCCUUAGGACACUCCCAAAGGGUGCACCAGGCCAGCAAGCAGGCUCCAUUACGGCAGGGACUGUGGCUACUCGGCUCACCAUCACUGAUGGCCAACAUGGUGCCUAGCCCAUGGAUACGACGGUGAAACAUGCGUGGCUGAAUCCUGACUAUAUGGACCAGGUGCCCUGGGGAGAGGAGACAUGGUCAUGUGGAAGCCCCAGGACACCGCCUCAUGGUGGACAGAGGAAGGCUCCGGUGAGGGUGAGUAGAAUUCACCUCGGUGGACUCCUCCUCAGCUGCUGGCCUGCACGGCUCACCUUGCCUUGAAUUGGAGAUCUGGAGAUGAUACAGCCGCUGUCGGAGGUCCUGCCUUCUCAUUGGAUGUCAGAGCAUGUGAGGUGGCUGAUUGUGGUCUGCGUGGGAGGGAAACAUGAAGGCCCUUAGAAGUCCAGGUUGGACCACUUCAUGCCGAUUGCAGCAGUGGGAGGAGCAAAUGGAGCCCCAGAAGUGGAAGCCUUCUACUGCCCCCUGCAGGUAAAAAACCAGGACCUGCAGGACCUGCCCAGGAACAAGAGGGACCCUGGCAUGAGCCCCCACCAGGGAUCUGUCCUGGGAGGAAGGGGCACUGAACCUGCCACUGGAUCAUAAGGUUUAGGGGCCGGGUAUUGUGUUCUUUGUCUCUGAUGUUCUUUGUCAUACUCUUUUUUUUUUUUUUUAAGAUUUUAUUUAUUUAUUUGACAGAGACACAGUGAGAGAGUGAACACAAGCAGGGGGAGUGGGAGAGGG